GUUUGAUCCUGGCUCAGAUUGAACGCUGGCGGCAUGCUUUUACACAUGCAAGUCGAACGGCAGCACGGGGGCAACCCUGGUGGCGAGUGGCGAACGGGUGAGUAAUAUAUCGGAACGUACCCGGAAAUGGGGGAUAACGUAGCGAAAGUUACGCUAAUACCGCAUAUGCCCUAAGGGGGAAAGCGGGGGAUUCGCAAGAACCUCGCGUUUUCGGAGCGGCCGAUAUCGGAUUAGCUAGUAGGUGAGGUAAAGGCUCACCUAGGCGACGAUCCGUAGCUGGUCUGAGAGGACGACCAGCCACACUGGAACUGAGACACGGUCCAGACUCCUACGGGAGGCAGCAGUGGGGAAUUUUGGACAAUGGGCGCAAGCCUGAUCCAGCCAUGCCGCGUGAGUGAAGAAGGCCUCGGUGUAA
rnacentral:rRNA from 1 species